GGACUUUAAUAGGGCAUGAUCCCUGGGCUCCUCUCUAUCUCGCUCCCCAGCUGCUCUCUGGGGACUCCCUGUUGCCUCCGGAUGUCCCAUCAGCCUCUUAUCGCACUCCUGACCUCUCUGGGAUAUAAAUUAUCACAGCCACCCCAAUUUUUAGCAACCACCAUCCUCAUCAAUGAGCACCCACUGACAUGGAGGCAAGACCACCAGCAAAAUUAUUGAUUCAUGAAGGGUUCAGUAUUGUGGACACAUACUUUACAUACAUCGGAGAACCAAAUUUUUUUUUCUAACUGGCUUUACUGCGACAUUUCCUCUAUCAAGUUGGUCUGGAACUGCACUCAUGGUAUCUUUAAGGUGUGCCUUUUGAAUCUUCUUUUAUGCUUGGUUUUCAGUCACUUGAUCAAAUCACCAAUACUCUCUAAAGACUUUAACACCCUUAACCAAGAAAGCAAGUCUUUGCACAAUUUUUAGGCUGAGAAAGUCAUGGCAAUUCCUAAUAAAGUCCUUAAAAUCCUCUAUCUUUUUUUUUCUUUUAAUUUUUUAUUUCGUGCUUUAUUCCAUAUUUUACCAAUGCAAAAUACCUAGUACUUGUAAUUUUGUUCUGGAUUGUGAUUUUCAUUUGUUGCACCUACA